CGUUCAACUUGCUAAACGUCGACAGCACGCCACGCCACCAAGUCGAACCUAAUGUCUGUGGCGAAACCGAGCGUUUACAGCCGAAAGUUGAACCACAAUGUCGAAUCCCUCUUGUGUUGAGAUUUGUCAUUGGUGAAGCUCGAUAUACGCCAUUAAAGCUAUUGUGGAUAUGUUUUGAAAUAUGAAGAUAAAAUGAAGGAGAAGGGUGAGGUACCAGUUACGUUCAGUCAUUUGGGACCUCCAAAAAGAUGAACAACUGAAGAGGAAGAAGAGAGAGGGAACAUUCAAAUCAUGAUGACUCUGUUUACCACCACCCUACACAAAAUUCCACUGGAGCUCUACCACCUAGGGAACCUCCAAUGUUGAAAUCAUCAAUUG